rnacentral:rRNA from 1 species
AUUGAACGCUGGCGGCAUGCCUUACACAUGCAAGGUCGAACGGUAACAGGUCUUCGGAUGCUGACGAGUGGCGAACGGGUGAGUAAUACAUCGGAACGUGCCCGAUCGUGGGGGAUAACGCAGCGAAAGCUGUGCUAAUAACCGCAUACGAUCUACGGAUGGAAAGCGGGGGAUCGCAAGACCUCGCGCGGACGGAGCGGCCGAUGGCAGAUUAGGUAGUUGGUGGGAUAAAAGCUUACCAAGCCGACGAUCUGUAGCUGGUCUGAGAGGACGACCAGCCACACUGGGACUGAGACACGGCCCAGACUCCUACGGGAGGCAGCAGUGGGGAAUUUUGGACAAUGGGCGCAAGCCUGACUCCAGCCAUGCCGCGUGCAGGAUGAAGGCCUUCGGGUUGUAAACUGCUUUUGUACGGAACGAAAAAGCUCUCUCUAAUACAGGGGGUGAAUGACGGUACCGUAAGAAUAAGCACCGGCUAACUACGUG